UUUGUCAGAUUUGUGCAUCUUGGACUUCGACAUCCCAUCUACGAUGCUAAUGGUUACAUGGCAAGUUGUUCUAAUUGAUGUUCCUGCUGUGAUUGGGGUGAUGUACAUUCAGUAAAUAGCAGUGCUACAUUGACAUGGAUGCAACAUUCAGGCGACAAAUAGGCGCGCACCAGCAGCGGCGAGGGGUGGGGUGGCAAAAGGCAGCGGCGGCGAGGAACGGUGCUCGAUCAGGCGCCAGGUCGUCUCGCCGUUGGGCACACCCGCGUGGCCCUGCCUACGGAAGCUGCCAGAGAGAGGAUCGGCGGCACGGGACUUGCCCAAAUCCCGCACCGGCGUCCACAGGCGUGAGAAAGUGUCCUGGGACGCGAGCAGCAGCACGCACUCCUGGUCCAGGAGAUCGUCACCCAAGAGCGCGCAGAGCUCAAGGAGGACGACCUCAACCAGAUCAUAGCGGGAGGCUCCGACGACGAGCGGAUGGGAUCUUGGCAGGAGGGGAAUGCGCAGAGGGGAUGACGGCUAGGGAACGAGAGGUGGUGGUCGUGGUGGGAGAGGAAUGCGCUGGCGCGCUUCCUCAACGGCGGCGGAGCAGUUACUGGACGGCGCACGUCCUGGGCGGCAUAGGUGCAUAAUCCCGCAGGUGCAUGUCCUGGGCAACCGUGGCGAUGCGUGGAAUCGCAGGUGCAGGUGGGUGGCGGUGGCGGAAUUAGAGGCGCAGGUCGCGGGCAGCGGCGGAAUCAGAGGCGCAGGUCGCGGGCAGCGGCGGAAUCAGAGGCGCAGGUGGGCUCAUGCUGAUGGGCGGCGCCGAAAUCUGUUGUCUGGCGUCUGUCCGUCGACGCGCGGUAUCAGCGAGGAAGAAGAUGGAGGCAUAGAUCGAUUUGAGACAGUUUUCGAAUUUUGAGGGCUUUUUUACAAAAACGCCAGUACACUGCGUGUCGCAUAAUC